UUUACUAUACAGAAACAGCGAUGAGACCGUGGUCUCUUAUUACCACGUGACUAAUCAGAACGAGGCUACUUUCAUUUUUGCAUUGCCUACGUGCAGCAUGGGAUCAUUGAUAAUUAAGCCCUAUGGUAUCUUCAGAUUACAGCCUAUUAAGCUGGAAUGCCCCACACAUAAUGGAUGAUAAUUUUGUAAAUUAGAGCAGUACUAUCUUGAGAGGGGCCCUUUGUUUUUCUGGACAUCAGAAUUUUAUAUCAAUGGAUUGUCUUGGAAUUGCCAUACAGAAGGUGUUCAUGAAGCAGCUCCCUGGAUGGUGUGUAGUCUGUAUGUCAACAUGUGGAGCCCAGGUGUAUAUCAAGCUUUACAGCGACUAUCAGAAUUUCGGAGCAAAUCAAAGAUCCUAUUUUAAUCAGAUUGAUUUCAAGGAAGUAGUAGUCUCCCCUGUUAAAGAUCAGUAAUGGUGGAUAUACAAUGCUGGAUGCAGUCUGGUCAUCAACAGAGAGUUUUGACACCUGUAAUUUGCCUCUGUAACCUUUGCUGUGUUUAUCAGACAGAUGAUGAAUCAGUCUACUUCUUUUUACAAGAGGUGCCCCUCCAGACUCACAAAGGUCCAAAGUUGAGUUUCAAGCACACCUAUUCAGUCUAAUGCAUGUUGGCAACUGAUGCUGGUUCUAUUUUCACCAAGAAGCAUACCAUGCAUACCACCGGUAACCAAGUGACGGACAGGCAUAACCACAGUUAGGUGUGCAGCUCUUUGUCCCCUUCCAGAUCUCCUAAUCUCUUUGUAAAGCUUUUCUUGGUGACUGAUAAAGUGACAUUUUUACAAUACAUAGAAAGGAUCCAUGCCUGGCCUUGUUUUUCCUCCCCAUGCUGAUUCCAGUCCAGUGAACCAUCACAAACUUGAAACUUUGCGAUGUACCCUUCCUUAUGAUUUGUCCUUGCCCAAACAGCCAAUGCAAUGAAGAAGAAAAUGCAGGGUUGAAAUGGAUUAAAGAUCAACUUUUCUAUAUGACAGCAAAUAUUUUCUUGGUGCAUUGUAUAUUUGACUUGUAGAACAAGAAUUUAUCAAAGUUGUCAUUAAUUUAAGAAAAAAGCACAAUUUUCACACUCAUGUAAGAGGAGAAAUAUAACAGAGUAUUGAAUACCAUGUUAGAAUUUUUAGUCAAGCAUGUGUUAAUUACAAAUUGAAAUGCAAAACUUUCAAUAGCAGAUUGAAUAACGUAAAUCUAGAAAUUUUUGCUGUAGAUAAAUUUUUAGCAAAUUUGCGAGUUCAUUGCAUUCACAAAAAUAUAUUUCUUAAAAUUAAUUCAACAAUAAGAAAAUUUAAACAAAGUAGUGGUCAUUCGCAAAAUUUUGAAACGUAAAAAUUAAUCAACAGCAUUACGACCCAGAUUCGCAAAAUAAAAUCGACGUAAACAUUUCCAGAUUUACGGUAGUUACUGUGUAGAUUAUUAUGAAUAUUAGGUCACCCAAGUCAGUCUAACAAUGGUGCACUAUCAUAUGGAAAUUUUCAACUUCUUAUUUGAAACCACUUAAGCAGUCUUAAUUAAUUUUGGCAUACAGUUUGGCUCACCUAUUAAUUUAUUCUUAGAAAAUUUUCUAUGCUCAGGGUUGUAUUCUCCUCUGGUGACUGUUAAGGUCCAUUGGCCCCUUGUUACUCUUUUACUUAAAUAUUUUGUUUUUAAGCUAUUAUUGCUGCAAGCAUUUGCAAGCAUUAUAAGUAUAUUAUUUUCUUUGUUAAGUUUGCUGUCAUUUGCUUAAUUUAUAAGCUUUUCACGUGUACAUUACUUAUUAUACACAUAUUAUUUUUUGUUGUUAGCAAAUAAUUUGAAUGUAUGCACAUGCCUUUAAUUUAGAUGAGAGCAUAUUUGUAUAUUUUCAAUAUUUUCUUGAGCAAUAAAUAUUGAAUUGAUUUCAGCAUAUUUUAUUAUGUAUUCAAACAUGAAUUGAAUGGCAGCAGGCAUAUUGCAUUACUUUGAUAAAUUGAAUACUGCAUUAUAAUGUUAAACAUGACCAGUUAUUGUUACACUACCAUUAAAGAACUAAUAUCUUA